CAAUAAAAGGAUUGCCCUCAAGGUCUGUAGACUCUGUGUGUGUUUCUUCCUCAGCUUUGACUUAAUGAUAUACUGUAACACUUUGCCUGUUCUCAGCUCACAGAAAGAACACUUUGCCUCCCAGCCCUCCCUCAGUCUUCAGCAGUGAUGAGAUUUUGGGCAGGCCUUUGAUUCAGCGGCUCCAGCUCAUGAUCACUACUUACUGUGCAACCGCAGACUCUAAAUGACAUCAUCUGUGCAAGAUUACAGUGGCCAUACCUGGGACAUUUUGGCUUCAAUUAUCUACAGAGAAAGGAAUUGGAGACGCGUCGUCCAACUUUUUUACAGUCUAUGCUUUCUAACUGGAUGAGUGGCACCAUGGCCGCCACUCAGAAUCAGAUAUUCCAGAAAGCCAUGUAAUAAUAAAUGAUCUCAU
ensembl:lncRNA